AGACCAAGGGGUGUGAUUUUUUGUUGUUUUAUUUUUUAUUUACUUACAAUUUACAUAUAAUAUUUGCACAGGUUUUAAGUUCGUUGAGUUUGUAUACAUCCAUAUUACUGAAAUGUAUACACAUAUAACUUUGUUCAAAAGGGCCCCAUGUUUAGUGUAGUGCUCUACUAUUAUUGCUGUCUUGAAUUCUUAAUAAUUUUCUCUUUGAACUUGUGUUUUAUAAACUGAGUCUGAUUGGACAAUGGAGCAAUAUGUGUGUCUGCCGUUCCUGUCUCCCCAUUCACAUAUGGUCUUUGCAAUGCUCCACGAGGACAGAAUUCCAGGGAAGAACAAUGAGUGGGAGUGCGGCAAGACUCCAAGUGAGGUUCCUCCUCUGUGAAAUGGAGAUGAUACUGACUGCUCAAAGUUGCUGUGAUGUUUACGUGAUUACAAAAUUGCAGGCCCAAUGUUGAGCACGUGAAAUUAUAUAAAUGAAAUUGGUUGUUAGUUAGCCCAAUAAGCCAGGAAUGAUGCUGACAGAGGAA